GUUGUGCGCCGGCUCCCAGGACGCGGCGUCUUGCCGAUACCAGACCUCUCGGAUAGAUACUGUACUGUUUCCCAUGAGGGUAAAGCAGGCGUAGGUGGCAUGAGUGAGUGGCCUGCAGGCGAUCAGCAAAUGGAGCUGCUUUUAAAAGAGUGUCCUCUGAUAAUGAAAAGCUGGAUUUUCAGAAUAACUGCUGGAGUGGACUCUUGAUCCAGGUGUUUUGUUUUACUAUUACAUCUGCAUUGCAUCACACACAGCAGAGGGGGGAUCUCCCCUCACACUGGCUGGCUGUGAGGCUCAACCCCUACCUUGUUGUUCAAGCUGUUAUGCAGGUGCUGACAGGACAAAACAAAACAAGAAACAAUACAAAAACACAAAAAACCCCCAACAACAACAAAAACAACCACACAAAAGAAUUAAGAAAGAAAAGAGAGCCAGAAUAAUAAAAGUGAAAAAGAAAUAUGAAAAAAAGGGAAUGGAAGAAUAGAGAAUAUGAAAAUGAAGAAGGGAGAGAAAAAAAGAAUAAAGAAUAGGAAAAAGAAAACGGUAUAGAAAAAAGAGGAAGGAACAAAUUAUGAAAAUGAAAAAAGAAAAAGAAGCAGAAGGAAAUUAAGGGGGAGAAUAAGAGAAAGAAGGAGAAAGAGUAAAAAGAAGAAAGAAAGAGCUAUGAAAGAAAAAAAAUCCAGACAUAAUAAUAAUGCAAUAAAAAAGAAAAUAAUGUAAAGAAAAAAAGUGGAGUUCAUCUCAGCAGUUCAGUGCCACCUGGGAGCUCCCUUUGGAUCCCUCUUUUAUGUUGACUGGAGCUGACUGUUUUGUCUGCCAUUCCCAGGAAGUACUUUGGUGCUAGCCACUGUCAGAAGCGGUCAAUGUUUGCACUCAGUAACCUGUUUGAAGCUUUCCAGCGGUUCUCAACCUGUGGGUUGCGAACAAUGAAAAUACAUCCUGCAUAUCAGAUAUUUACAUUAUGAUUCAUAACAGUAGCAAAAUUACAGUUAUGAAGUAGCAACAAAAAUAAUUUUAUGGUUGGGGGUCACCACAACACGAGGAACUGUAUUAAAGGGUCGAGAACCACUAAGCGAUCCGCAGUUUUUGACUGCCUCCACAGGGCGUGGCUGCACUUAGGAGGGACCAAGCUAUGUGCUGGGCCAGCUUGCUAGCCUCACAGGAGCAGGGGCAGGCAGCAAAUAUCCCAAGGCACCUCAGGCUCUGCCUCUGCCCACUGACCCUCUGUCAGACUCAGUCACUGCGAAGGCUGUUUCUGAAAGGGCUUUUGGUGGAACGAGGAGGAUGAGACCUCCGGGUCUCUGAUGAGGGAGAGAUGCCACUCAGAUUUCAGGGAAGAUAGUGGGUGUGUUUCCCCAUCGGAGAGCCACAGUCUGAGUCUGUCCCAGAAUAUUUCUCUCACCUUGGUAGGGCAAAGCUCUUUGUAUGCAGCCUGGUGGGGUCUUCUGGAAGCUGGAAAUUUCUACCAACUCUACGGCAAGGGAGAAGCACCAGUCAGGUUCCUAGGACAACGGGAAUGGCCCCACCUCCACGCUAGUCACUGAGCCCCCCCCCCCCCCCCCCGACUGCCCAGACGGCAGGCUUGGCCUCUGCUAUGCCUCCUCAGCAGUGAUUGAGGUGCAAGGUUGGGUGAGCUGUAUCCCCAAAGGCAGGGUAUUUGCCUUCCCCUAGGCUGUUGCUGUGGGUAGGGGCUUGCACCUCUCAGGAGAAGUGGCUGCUGCAGGAAGGAGGGGUAGCUGGGUUCUGGUCUCCCAGCUGCUGUUCCUCCACUUCUCCCUGCAGUGCCUCCCACCCCAGAUUCUCCUCAGGCGAUUCUAGUCCACACCACCCUCUCUUCACCGGAGCCUCGGAUGAGUGGCUGCACAUGAAAAUCCUAUGCUCUGGUUUGUUUUUUAAACAAGUGGCUUUCUCUUUCUCUCCCUGGCAGAUAGAAACCCCACUGCCUUUCCUGGCUGGAUGUUGCAUGGGCUGCUGUUCUUGGCUCUGGGGCUCCCAGCUGGGGAGCCCAGCCUGGGGUCUGGCCUCACUCCUCUCAGGGAAAACACCCCCCACUGCUGAGGUAUCCCUCCUCAUCCUUGGCCUGCCUCCUCUCCUGACCCUGCCCUUCCUACCAUCUUGAGGUGGUUUCUGUCCUUAUUAAAAGUCCCCUCUUCAGCUAGUUUUCAGUUGGUAAUUCAGGGUGAAUAUUUCUGAUUUAGUUUUAUUCCCAAUUUGGUUCUGGGAGGGGUGCAAAAAGGAUCCACCUACUCCGCUGCCAUCUUGAACUUCCCUCUGACUCUUAUCUUUCAUUAGAAACAUUGUAAAAGCCUUUCAGCUACCCUGCCUGCCUCUAUUCUUACUCACCUGUUUCCUGAUUAGUUCUGCACCAUCCUCUUAGAGUAGACUCAAUAGACAAUGGCUGUAUGUUUCAAAGGUCUGCUGGUAGUGACUGAGUACAAUUAGCACUGGAUCUAAUUUAUUUACCACAAUAAACGCCUCGACCAUAGUCCCCUGCUGAGAAAUUCCAGAAAAGGGUGAGGAGUAGGGAAGGAGUUGAGUAAGUAGAAAAAGUGGGGAUGGUGAGAAAUAUAGGUAAAGGGUCAUAUGGAUAGCCAUACAAGUCACAGAUUCAAAAAGGUAUAUAUACUGAGCCAGAGUUCAACCAGGAUUGCAUGGUUGAGUGCUCAGGGAUGUGUUACUGCAAGGUGAGACAGAGGCCGAAAACCAGGACUACAGGCUUUAUUAGAGGAGAAGGACCUGCCGGGCUGUCCCACAAGGGGAGGACAGCAGCACGUGCAGGGGUGGGCACGCCUUUUGAGGGGCGGAAUGGGAAGGGGUGGGGGGCUUAGUGUACUCGGUGCACACUGAUUGGUGGCUUACUGCAUUGUCCAUUUAGGACAAUGGCUAGCGUAUUUGGCAGGUAUGGAUUGGUGGUCCAAUGUGUAGUCCAUAUAAGGUACAUGGUUAAUCAGGUAUUUCUGGGCUGCAGGUUACAUCAUACUCCGCCCACCAGCUGGGGGAAGGGAGGAUCUAUCAGUUACGAUACCUUCCUUGUUGCCCUGGGUGGAAUGGUAAUGAAGUAAAAAAAAAAGAAAAACACUGUCCAGUGACCAUAAGUAGUUGGAAAAUCCUUUGUUUAGAGUUGAGAGGCACAUACAGUGUAGGAGAUAAAAAGAACA